AUGUGGCUCUGUGGCGCAAUGGAU
rnacentral:piRNA from 2 species